ACCAAGAAGUCUAACAUCCAUGCAAGUGUUCGGGUGUCAAACCCAUGUGUGCAGUGAAAGCAAAUGGAGGUGGAAGCCUGCAAGAGUGCACCAUCAACCAAUUCUGAAGUCUUUGAAUGGAUUUGAGUAAGAGUGUGGCUGUUGGGACCUGAAAGAUGGUGAACUAUGCCUGAAUAGGGUGAAGCCAGAGGAAACUCUGAUGGAGGCUUGCAGUGGUUCUGAUGUGCAAAUUGAUCAUCAAAUUUGGGUAUAGAGGUGAAAGACUAAUCAAACCAUCUGGUAGCUGGUUCCUGCUGAAGUUUCCCUCAGGAUAGCAGUAACAUUUUCAGUUUUAUGAGGUAAAGUGAAUGAUUAGAGGCCUUGGGGUUGAAACAAUCUUAACCUAUUCUCAAACUUUAAAUAUGUAAGAAGCCCUUGUUACUUAAGUGAAUGUGAGCAUUAGAAUGGAUCAUUACUAGUGGGCCAUUUUUGGUAAGCAGAACUGGUGAUGUGGGAUGAACUGAACACAAGAUUAAGGUGCCAGAAUGCAUGCUCAUCAGACACCACAAAAGAUGUUAGUUCAUCUAGACAGCCUGACAGUGGCCAUGGAAGUCAGAAUCCACUAAGAAGUGUGUAACAACUCACAGGCCAAAUGAACUAGCCCUGAAAAUGGAUGGCACUCAAGUGUGCUAUCCAUACCUUGCCAUCAGAGUAGAAAUGAAGCCCUGAUGAGUAAGCAGGCAUGGAGGUUUGUAACAAAGUCUUGGAAGUAAUUCCAGGUCAAACAGCCUCUAGUGCAGAUCUUGGUGGUAGUAGCAAAUACUCAAAUGAGAACUUUAAGAACUGAAGUGGGAAAAGAUUCCAUGUGAACAGCAGUUGGACAUGAGUUAGUCAAUUCUAAGAUAUAGGGUAGUUCUGUUUGAAAGUGUGCUCUAGUGCAUCAUUUGUCAAAAGGGAAGCUGGUUAAUAUUCCAGCACCUGAAUGCAGAUUCUCCAUGGCAACAUAACUGAAUGUGAAGAUGUUAGCAGAAGUCCUGGAAAAAGUUCUCUUUUCUUCUUGAUGAUCUAUCAUUCUGAAAUCAGUUUGUCCAGAGCUAGAGUUUCAUGACCAGCAGAGCUUUACAUAUUUGCAGGGUCUGGUGCACUCCUGAUGACCCUUGAAAAUCUGCAGGAAGGAAUAGUUUUCACACCAGGUCAUACUCAUAACUGUAGCAGGUCUCCAAGGUGAAAAGCCUCUAGUU
rnacentral:ncRNA from 1 species